GACGAACGCUGGCGGCGUGCUUAACACAUGCAAGUCGAACGGAAAGGCCCUGCUUUUGUGGGGUGCUCGAGUGGCGAACGGGUGAGUAACACGUGAGUAACCUGCCCUUGACUUUGGGAUAACUUCAGGAAACUGGGGCUAAUACCGGAUAGGAGCUCCUGCUGCAUGGUGGGGGUUGGAAAGUUUCGGCGGUUGGGGAUGGACUCGCGGCGUAUCAGCUUGUUGGUGGGGUAGUGGCUUACCAAGGCUUUGACGGGUAGCCGGCCUGAGAGGGUGACCGGCCACAUUGGGACUGAGAUACGGCCCAGAAUCCUACGGGAGGCAGCAGUGGGGAAUAUUGCACAAUGGCGGGAAGCCUGAUGCAGCAACGCCGCGUGCGGGAUGACGGCCUUCGGGUUGUAAACCGCUUUCGCCUGUGACGAAGCGUGAGUGACGGUAAUGGGUAAAGAAGCACCGGCUAACUACGUG
rnacentral:rRNA from 1 species